rnacentral:rRNA from 1 species
AUUGAACGCUGGCGGCAGGCCUAACACAUGCAAGUCGAACGAGUGGCGGACGGGUGAGUAAUGUCUGGGAAACUGCCCGAUGGAGGGGGAUAACUACUGGAAACGGUAGCUAAUACCGCAUACCAUCGGAUGUGCCCAGAGGGGAUGAGCUAGUAGGUGGGGUAACGGCUCACCUAGGCGACGAUCCCUCGCUGGUCUGCGAGGAUGACCAGCCAUCCUGGAACUGAGACACGGUCCAGACUCCUACGGGAGGCAGCAGUGGGGAAUAUUGCACAAUGGGCGAAAGACUGAUGCAGCAAUGCCGCGUGUAUGAAGAAGGACUUCGGGUUGUAAAGUACUGGCAGCGAGGAGGCGUUACUCGCAGAAGAAGCACCGGCUAACUCCGUGCCAGCAGCCGCGGUAAUAC